rnacentral:rRNA from 1 species
CCAAAAACUAAACGUACUCAGUUCGGACUGUGGUCUGCAACCCGACCACACGAAGCUGGAAUCGCUAGUAAUCGUGAAUCAGAAUGUCACGGUGAAUACGUUCCCGGGUCUUGUACACACCGCCCGUCACACCAUGGGAGUCAGCAACGCCCGAAGUCAGUGACCUAACCGAGAGGGAGGAGCUGCCGAAGGCGGGGCCGGUAACUGGGGUGAAGUCGUAACAAGGUAUC